rnacentral:lncRNA from 1 species
AGCCUCCCGAGGAGCUGGGACUACAGGGACCCGCCACCACGCCCGGCUAAUUUUUUUGUAUUUUUAGUAGAGACGGGGUUUCACCGUGUUAGCCAGGAUGGUCUCGAUCUCCUGACCUCCUGAUCCGCCCGCCUCGGCCUCCCAAAGUGCUGGGAUUACAGGCGUGAGCCACCGCGCCCGGCCGGUACUCCGAAGCCCUCAGAUCGGCGACCUGGGCGCUGUAGGCACCGAGAAAAUACAGGCACCGAGCCAGAAGCAGUGCCGCAACCAAGAGACCUCGGCUUGGCGAAAUGGCGGCGUCUGGAGCCUGCGAGUGACGCCAGCUGGUGGGGCUGUCAAGGAGAACAUUCGUUACGGCGCAACCAACGGUACUGUCACCAAGAAACCGUCGUCUCUGAGAAAAAAAGAGACGUUCGGCCGCCGAGAAACUCCGUACAAGUGCUGUGACAGAAAAACCGCCGGCUCCGCGCAGCGGCAAAAGAGCCAACGGGAACGCCGGGUGCUGCGACCAUGACCCCGGCACUGGAGGACGUGGGAUGGAGAAUGGGACACACGGAGCGAGAAGGGAAACGUUUCGUGCAGACCAACUAGCGCCGCCGCCACCGGAAAACUGACUCGCCAGUGCUGCCAAUGAAGUGCGUGUGAGAAACCGAUGACUGGUGGGAGGAGCAGCGCUGGGCGCUGGACCCGCGAGUGUGAGAAUCUGGCGGCGCUAGGACCCUUCAGGCGCGGGCACGAGGCGAAACCCAGCGCUGUUGCCAAAGACAAAUGCGCGUUCUUUUGGGCGCCAUCAGCGGUGCAGCCAGUGAUCACUCCCAGGCUCUGAGAAACUAGAGAUGUCAGCCACAAACCCUCCGUUCAGGGAAAGUUUGCGGCGCCGUGACGGAUCGACUGGCACUGGGUGCAACAUUGUCUUGUGGCCUAGAGACUAGAAUAUAAAAACAAAAACCAAAUACAAAACUGCUGCUGGCAUUACUCCUACUCUCCCCCCUCAAGUCAGUGGCUUCAGGCUUAAGAAAACCUGUAUUUUUCUUGGCUGUGCCAUAAUCCGUAAUUACCGAGGCCCCCAGCGACCCACCCAGUGUGAUUCGCAGAGGGAAAGGAGCUGGAAUAAGGACCGUGAAUGGGGCGGAUGUGGCUCGUCCUGGGAGAGAGCUAAAGCUUAUGCUGGUCGCAAACAGCAUUACAUUGCAGGAAACUGCUCUUCCAAUGGCCGUGGCUGGGUCCUUCCACACCAUCCCUCUGCCCUAGACCUUUGUCCCCGUUCAGAGCCAUCAGAGAUUCUAGGAGAGCUGUCGACAACCGCAUCUCUUCGGAACUUGGAAACUCUAGGUUCAAGAUCUCCGUGGAGAAUGAAAGGCACAGUCGCCUGACCCGGGCAUCAGGCUUGCCCCGCACAUCAAGUCCCUCCCCUACUGGAUGGAACUCUGUGGCAAUCGCUCCUUAUUCUGAUGGUUCACUCUGUCAGAUAUCCUCGAUAUUUGGGGAUAGUAGUUCAAAAACAGCCGGGGAGGAAAAUGGGCUGAAAGAUUCCAGCGUUGGAUGUAGAAUUGACAGCGAGACAUACACCUCCUCUCUAAGCCCAGAGAAAAGCUCAAGUUGUGGUUCUCUGUCUCUAGCAGCAUGAUCUUCAAAAUGCAUCAUUGAUUUCUAUCUUCUGGGAAAUGCAAUGCAGGUGAACUUGUAAGUGCUCAAAUCCUCCAUCUCCUCACUUUUCAGACUGAGGCCUUUUUUUUUUUAAAUCUGAGAAGAAAUAUGGGACUGCCACUGCUCAGUAGGAAAAUGUCCUUUCCCACAAGCAUUUAUAUUUUAAUAAAAAUCUGCACUUUGUGAGUUGAGCCCCCUCAAAGAGACCUACAAACCCUGCCACAAAUAUCUCCAACCACACUCAUCAUUUCCGAUUUUCAUCACUGCUGCUCCUGUGCAAACCAAACUAUCCUUUCCCUGGGGCAUCCUAGGUAGAGGCCAUGCCAGGACAAAGGCAGAGAUAUGCCUGCCUGGUAAGGAAAUCCAUUUUGGCCUUGUAAUUCUCACCCUCUCCCAAGAUGUUUGCCUCAAUAUCUCCUUCCCACCUUACCCCGUCUUCAGCUAGCCAAAACAUUCCCUGGUAUUUGAGGCCCUUCCAAUUUCCUCCUGGUUUUGUGGGUGGGAGAAUAAAGAAAAAACUGCACUGUUCCCACCCACAUAGUUACAGCCACUUUAUCAAACGGAAGAGCAGUCUGGAGCCAUUGCAAAACAAAAUACCUGCCACAACUCCUCUCUUCUCAUUUCGACUCCAGCUUUUCAUCUUAGCAAAAAAGUUGCAAUCAGCACCCCCUAGACGGAAGGAAUAUCCUGUCUUAAUGGGAGUCCAUAGGAGGCUGCAGGCUGCUCCCCUACAGAGACUAACAUCAAGGUAGUUGCAGAAUUCAGAUUCUAAUUACAGUGUGGUUGGAGGCGGGGUGGAUUCCAGGGAGGUCAGGAAGAGGUAAAGUACAGAAUUGAGCUCCUUGGGAGGAGGUCAUAGGAACUUUGCAGUAUGAAAAUGGCUAGAGAUUGGGUAGAAUUGAGCAGGCUGGCAAUGGCAGUUUUGUGUGGGUGGUAGGACCUAGGAUUCAAACUUGAGGGCAAAUUGUGGAGCACAUACGACAAAUGAUGUAGAGCCUUUCCUAUUUCCCUUCCUGCUGUGUCAUCCGAAACAAUAAAUAAUAAAGAAUUAACAAA